rnacentral:rRNA from 1 species
GACGAACGCUGGCGGCGUGCUUAACACAUGCAAGUCGAACGGAAAGGCCCUGCUUUUGUGGGGUGCUCGAGUGGCGAACGGGUGAGUAACACGUGAGUAACCUGCCCUUGACUUUGGGAUAACUUCAGGAAACUGGGGCUACUACCGGAUAGGAACUCCUGCUGCAUGGUGGGGGUUGGCAUGUUUCGGCGGUUGGGGAUGGACUCGCGGCUUAUCAGCUUGUUGGUGGGGUAGUGCCUUACCACGGCUUGGCCGGGUAGCCCGCCUGAGAGGGGGACCGGCCACAUUGGGACUGAGAUACGGCCCAGACUCCUACGGGAGGCAGCAGUGGGGAAUAUUGCACAAUGGGCGGAAGCCUGAUGCAGCAACGCCGCGUGCGGGAUGACGGCCUUCGGGUUGUAAACCGCUUUCGCCUGUGACGAAGCGUGAGUGACGGUAAUGGGUAAAGAAGCACCGGCUAACUACGUG